CUAACAUCAAUGUUGGAUGGGCUGGCAGUGUGCACAAUGCAAGAGUGCUAUGAAACUCCAUACUCUUCAAUCUAGCGGAGAGUGACAACCUUUUCCCACCAGUGAGGACACUCAAGGAAUUGGAGGUGUAGAGGUGCCCAGCAUGCUCUUGGGAGACCCAUACCCUCUCUUGAGCUGGCUCAUGAAGGGAUACCCUGACAAUGGACAUCCUACCAGAGAGUACAGGCAUUUCAGUUACAGACUGAGUCGUGCAUGCAUGACUGUGGAAUGUGCUUUUGGAAGGCUUAAAGGGAGAUGGCGGUGUUUGUUGAGGAAGAUAGAUGUCAGUAUCUAGAGGGUCCCUACCAUUGUAACCAGCUGCUGUGUCUUGCACAUCACAAGAAGAUGACUUUUUGGAGGAAUGGAAGGAGGAAGUGGAUGAGCCAGCAGAACUGAGGGAACCAGACAUUCGUCAAGUCGACAAGUCGUCUCAAACUUACUCCUCUUCUGUCUGGUUUUGCCACUGCUUGAAGAAGACGGUGGCUUAGUUGAUGAAGAUGAUGAGGAGUAGGAAGAGGAGGAGGAUUGGGACAAUGAUGAAGUAGCAGCACCACCUGGUCCAGUAGUGGCUACAAACACAAACACGUAAAAAUAAGACAUUACAGCCAGCUCUCAUUGGGUGAAAAAAGGCAAUGCAGCAGUGCCAAGUUUCUGAACUAGCUGCUAACGUAAAUGGUUCUUUAGCUUGAGAAGAAUAACCACAAACACCAACACAUACUAACAUUAACCACACUACACUCCUUCUCAGCUCCUUCUUAAUGAUUCUCGUGUCCACCAGGAGAUCAGUAAACACCCUCCUGCCUGAGCUGCUCUCUCUUUGCCUGCCAGAACAGAGGUACGGCCCUCCCCCUCCUCAGUGUGUGCAGUGAGUGAUUAAACACACCAGUGCUCACUUACUCAUCAGGACCUGGUGAUGAAAGACCAUGUCAAAUGUACAGACAUUGCCAGUGGGUCAGUUGUCAGCAUUUAUUUAAAUUGCAAAUAAAUUCUUGAUUUGUUCUGUUGUA